GCCUAGUUAGCUUAGUUGGUUGGGCGUCUGCCUUGUAAGCGCUAGGCCGCGGGUUCGAUUCCCGCCCGGGCG
rnacentral:tRNA from 1 species